rnacentral:rRNA from 1 species
GACGAACGCUGGCGGCGUGCUUAACACAUGCAAGUCGAACGGAAAGGCCCUGCUUUUGUGGGGUGCUCGAGUGGCGAACGGGUGAGCAACACGUGAGUAACCUGCCCUUGACUUUGGGAUAACUUCAGGAAACUGGGGCUAAUACCGGAUAGGAGCUCCUGCUGCAUGGUGGGGGUUGGAAAGUUUCGGCGGUUGGGGAUGGACUCGCGGCUUAUCAGCUUGUUGGUGGGGUAGUGGCUUACCAAGGCUUUGACGGGUAGCCGGCCUGAGAGGGUGACCGGCCACAUUGGGACUGAGAUACGGCCCAGACUCCUACGGGAGGCAGCAGUGGGGAAUAUUGCACAAUGGGCGGAAGCCUGAUGCAGCAACGCCGCGUGCGGGAUGACGGCCUUCGGGUCGUAAACCGCUUUCGCCUGUGACGAAGCGUGAGUGACGGUAAUGGGUAAAGAAGCACCGGCUAACUACGUGCCAGCAGCCGCGGUGAUACGUAGGGUGCGAGCGUUGUCCGGAUUUAUUGGGCGUAAAGGGCUCGUAGGUGGUUGAUCGCGUCGGAAGUGUAAUCUUGGGGCUUAACCCUGAGCGUGCUUUCGAUACGGGUUGACUUGAGGAAGGUAGGGGAGAAUGGAAUUCCUGGUGGAGCGGUGGAAUGCGCAGAUAUCAGGAGGAACACCAGUGGCGAAGGCGGUUCUCUGGGCCUUUCCUGACGCUGAGGAGCGAAAGCGUGGGGAGCGAACAGGCUUAGAUACCCUGGUAGUCCACGCUGUAAACGGUGGGUACUAGGUGUGGGGUCCAUUCCACGGGUUCCGUGCCGUAGCUAACGCUUUAAGUACCCCGCCUGGGGAGUACGGCCGCAAGGCUAAAACUCAAAGGAAUUGACGGGGCCCCGCACAAGCGGCGGAGCAUGCGGAUUAAUUCGAUGCAACGCGUAGAACCUUACCUGGGUUUGACAUGGAUCGGGAGUGCUCAGAGAUGGGUGUGCCUCUUUUGGGGUCGGUUCACAGGUGGUGCAUGGCUGUCGUCAGCUCGUGUCGUGAGAUGUUGGGUUAAGUCCCGCAACGAGCGCAACCCUUGUUCACUGUUGCCAGCACGUUAUGGUGGGGACUCAGUGGAGACCGCCGGGGUCAACUCGGAGGAAGGUGGGGAUGACGUCAAGUCAUCAUGCCCCUUAUGUCCAGGGCUUCACGCAUGCUACAAUGGCUGGUACAGAGAGUGGCGAGCCUGUGAGGGUGAGCGAAUCUCGGAAAGCCGGUCUCAGUUCGGAUUGGGGUCUGCAACUCGACCUCAUGAAGUCGGAGUCGCUAGUAAUCGCAGAUCAGCAACGCUGCGGUGAAUACGUUCCCGGG